UACGUAGGGGGCAAGCGUUGUCCGGAAUCAUUGGGCGUAAAGAGCGUGUAGGCGGCCCGAUAAGUCCGCUGUGAAAGUCGGGGGCUCAACCCUCGAAUGCCGGUGGAUACUGUCGGGCUAGAGUGCGGAAGAGGCGAGUGGAAUUCCUGGUGUAGCGGUGAAAUGCGCAGAUAUCAGGAGGAACACCUAUUGCGAAGGCAGCUCGCUGGGACGUAACUGACGCUGAGACGCGAAAGCGUGGGGAGCAAACGGG
rnacentral:rRNA from 1 species